ensembl:lncRNA
GGAACAUUUUAUUUGACUAGUAGAGUCAAUCGUGGUUUUCUUGUCUGCAAAGAGAGGAGCAAGUAGAACCUAUAAUGCAGCCCUAUAGAGUGGCACCCGAGGGAUGCAGUGGUGAAACAAAUCCUCGCAAGAGCAAGCCCCUCAUCGUGCAGGACCUAAGAGAGGCUCAGCCUGGGAUGCUAGCUUCCCUUCUCAUCAACAGUCAUCUGUUUUCACAGCAGAGGUAGCGGUGCCCACAGUGCCUUCACUGAGGGUGGUUUACAUCAGCACAUCAUCUGAUGCAUCACAAAUCCCUCUGUUGAAAGGAUUUUGGUAACUCUGUGUUCCAGGCAAAAUGCUUCCAGGGCUGUGAGUGCUGGUGUCCAGCUCAGCCCCUCCGAGUGGGAGGGCAAUGCAUACAGGGCACUAGGGAGCAGGUUAAGAUCAUAUCCAUCAGCCACAGGUGUCUCCUAUUCCAGUAUAUCAGCAACCCAGGAUACCCAGACGUGGUGGUGUUCCAUGGAGCAGUGGGCCAUGUCCUGAUGCCCAUGGGCUGCAGUGAGUGGUGCUGGUGGAAGAGCAGAGCCAGCAGUCCUCUGCCCAUGAGCACAGUUGGGAGUACAGCAGUCUGAGGUCAUAAAUGCACAAAAAUGACUUGAAAUAAAAUGGUCUGCAAUUGAAUUGCACAAAACUUUGUCUUGUGCCCAUGAAAAUGUUGGGACAGGUGGCAAAGACAGGUCAGAGAUGGAUGGGUCUGAAACGUUACAUAGAUGGAAGAAAUCAGCAGUGCAGAGAGUCCCAAGAGAAAGAGAUGUCCCCCACAGAGGCAGCUGUUUCUCUACCAUGAAAGUGUUUCCAUAAAAGCUCGGGACAGCCACAUUAAGGAAGAUGGCCUGAAAGAAAACCAUGCAAAUUAUACUGAGCACACCUAAAAACACUGUCCUGGGGCAAAACAGUGAGCUCACUGCAGAAACGAGGGAGCUGCCGACAGCACGGACAAAACUGAAUUGCUUGAACUGGCUUGUGUGAUCUCCAGUGCCUGAAGCCUCUCCAAACUGGGCUGUACAUUGCUGCUGCUAUACCAGUAUCAAACUACAGUAAUAACAAGCAUCUUUAAGUGCCUUACUUGAUACCAGAUUCAUUACCCUGAGAGUCCUUCCAUAGAAAUAGCUGGGAUAUAUAAUCAGAUCUGUAUUGGUCUUCUUACAAACCGCAGCGUGAAGGACAGCUUGGCUCAGAGGAGGCUGCACUGCAUGCAAAGGAGGGAGAUUAUCCAGAAAGCUAAGUAGUUUCAGAAGCAAUUUCAUCUGUGAAGACAAGAGCAAGCACAAGCCCUCAAGGCCACCGCAGCCCCAUCACCUGUGCCCUGAAGGCACCGAGCUGCUGCACACACCUUCCUCACCACCUCUGUCCUCUCCUGUGUGCUUUGGGACCCACAACGAAAGUCUGAGUUUGGACUUGGGGCAUAAAAUACGGCACCAUAAAAUAUUAUUGUAGGGGAAGAGUGAAAAUUUACUCAUUUUUGAGCAGGAGGGCAAGGUGAUUUUCUCUCGGUCCAGUAAUUCCCUCAUUUUUAUUGCUGGUGUUACGGACCAGCUUCUCCGAGGUGCUUGGAUUUUGCUUAUAUUGCGUCCUCCUUCACAUCCGCUUUCAACAGUAAAACCCGUGUGGUUUUGAUCUCUUGCUUUCAUGCCUGCUGCCACACUCUGGAAAAUUUAAGAAGGGCGCAAGGAAUGGGUUAGUCACACUUGUUAAUAUUUAUCCCAUUGCAGAGUGAGUAGGGCUGACCUCAGAGCUUGGGCUUUGGAGAACAGUUAUGAGAACAAUUCCACCGCGCCGAAACGAAAUCUGCAUGCAAAGCUCGUUUGGUGCCUGGAAGGAGCUAGAAGGAAAUAAAGGUCUUAAACGAUAUAUUUCCGCAGUGAAUGUUUUGUCCUGUUUACAGAAUCUCACUCGAAUACUGGGGGUUUUGUUUUGUUCAUGUGUUUUUCAUAAGGAUAAAUAGCCGUGCAGUUUAAACAUUUUCAUUAGAC